AGAGUUUGAUCAUGGCUCAGAAUCAACGCUGGCGGCGUGCCUCAGACAUGCAAGUCGAACGAUUAAAGCUCUCUUCGGAGAGUGUAUAGAGUGGCGCACGGGUGAGUAACACGUAAGUAAUCUACCCUCGAGUGGGGAAUAACAACCGGAAACGGUUGCUAAUACCGCAUAAUGCAGCGGCACCGCAAGGUGACAGUUGUUAAAGAUUUAUCGCUUGAGGAGGAGCUUGCGGCAGAUUAGCUAGUUGGUAGGGUAACGGCUUACCAAGGCUACGAUCUGUAACCGGUCUAAGAGGACGGUCGGUCACACUGACACUGAAUAACGGGUCAGACUCCUACGGGAGGCAGCAGUCGGGAAUUUUGGGCAAUGGGCGAAAGCCUGACCCAGCAACGCCGCGUGAAGGAUGAAGUAUUUCGGUAUGUAAACUUCGAAAGAAUAGGAAGAAUUAAUGACGGUACUAUUUAUAAGGUCCGGCUAACUACGUG
rnacentral:rRNA from 1 species